CUGAAACAUUGUAGUUCACACCUUGAGAAGGUGUCCUCCCCACCUGAGGUGAAAUUGGUCUGUGGAAACUAGGACUUUUAUUUUUAUGAUUUUCUGAAUGUAUGGACAAAAAAGGUAAUAUAUGAGUUUUGGGGGGCUCUUAUUUUGGAAUUCAACAUCAGAAUGUCCUGAAACAUUGUAGUUCACACCUUGAGAAGGUGUCCUCCCCACC